rnacentral:rRNA from 1 species
GGGUUGUGAGGUUAAGCGACUAAGCGUACACGGUGGAUGCCCUGGCAGUCAGAGGCGAUGAAGGACGUGCUAAUCUGCGAUAAGCGUCGGUAAGGUGAUAUGAACCGUUAUAACCGGCGAUUUCCGAAUGGGGAAACCCAGUGUGAUUCGUCACACUAUCAUUAACUGAAUCCAUAGGUUAAUGAGGCGAACCGGGGGAACUGAAACAUCUAAGUACCCCGAGGAAAAGAAAUCAACCGAGAUUCCCCCAGUAGCGGCGAGCGAACGGGGAGCAGCCCAGAGCCUGAAUCAGUGUGUGUGUUAGUGGAAGCGUCUGGAAAGGCGCGCGAUACAGGGUGACAGCCCCGUACACAAAAAUGCACAUACUGUGAGCUCGAUGAGUAGGGCGGGACACGUGGUAUCCUGUCUGAAUAUGGGGGGACCAUCCUCCAAGGCUAAAUACUCCUGACUGACCGAUAGUGAACCAGUACCGUGAGGGAAAGGCGAAAAGAACCCCGGCGAGGGGAGUGAAAAAGAACCUGAAACCGUGUACGUACAAGCAGUGGGAGCACGCUUAGGCGUGUGACUGCGUACCUUUUGUAUAAUGGGUCAGCGACUUAUAUUCUGUAGCAAGGUUAACCGAAUAGGGGAGCCGAAGGGAAACCGAGUCUUAACUGGGCGUUAAGUUGCAGGGUAUAGACCCGAAACCCGGUGAUCUAGCCAUGGGCAGGUUGAAGGUUGGGUAACACUAACUGGAGGACCGAACCGACUAAUGUUGAAAAAUUAGCGGAUGACUUGUGGCUGGGGGUGAAAGGCCAAUCAAACCGGGAGAUAGCUGGUUCUCCCCGAAAGCUAUUUAGGUAGCGCCUCGUGAAUUCAUCUCCGGGGGUAGAGCACUGUUUCGGCAAGGGGGUCAUCCCGACUUACCAACCCGAUGCAAACUGCGAAUACCGGAGAAUGUUAUCACGGGAGACACACGGCGGGUGCUAACGUCCGUCGUGAAGAGGGAAACAACCCAGACCGCCAGCUAAGGUCCCAAAGUCAUGGUUAAGUGGGAAACGAUGUGGGAAGGCCCAGACAGCCAGGAUGUUGGCUUAGAAGCAGCCAUCAUUUAAAGAAAGCGUAAUAGCUCACUGGUCGAGUCGGCCUGCGCGGAAGAUGUAACGGGGCUAAACCAUGCACCGAAGCUGCGGCAGCGACGCUGAUGCGUUGUUGGGUAGGGGAGCGUUCUGUAAGCCUGUGAAGGUGUGCUGUGAGGCAUGCUGGAGGUAUCAGAAGUGCGAAUGCUGACAUAAGUAACGAUAAAGCGGGUGAAAAGCCCGCUCGCCGGAAGACCAAGGGUUCCUGUCCAACGUUAAUCGGGGCAGGGUGAGUCGACCCCUAAGGCGAGGCCGAAAGGCGUAGUCGAUGGGAAACAGGUUAAUAUUCCUGUACUUGGUGUUACUGCGAAGGGGGGACGGAGAAGGCUAUGUUGGCCGGGCGACGGUUGUCCCGGUUUAAGCGUGUAGGCUGGUUUUCCAGGCAAAUCCGGAAAAUCAAGGCUGAGGCGUGAUGACGAGGCACUACGGUGCUGAAGCAACAAAUGCCCUGCUUCCAGGAAAAGCCUCUAAGCAUCAGGUAACAUCAAAUCGUACCCCAAACCGACACAGGUGGUCAGGUAGAGAAUACCAAGGCGCUUGAGAGAACUCGGGUGAAGGAACUAGGCAAAAUGGUGCCGUAACUUCGGGAGAAGG